rfam:Rhodobacter sp. LPB0142, complete genome.
GGACGGGUGGCCGAGUGGUCGAAGGCGCACGCCUGGAAAGUGUGUAGGCGGGGAACCGUCUCGAGGGUUCGAAUCCCUUCCCGUCCG